GCAGUUCUUGCGUGCGCGGGCGAACGGCGUGGCGAACAAAAGCGUCAACCAUCUCAGCACCCUGGAACCCCGGGUGGCACAGGGCUGGAUGGGGCGUUCGUAUAUCAGGGACAGUGCUGCCUCUCGCUUAAUUUCGCUGUCACGCGCGCUCGCCCUUUCGUUCGCACAGCCAAAAAUGGUCAGUUUUGGCCUGUAUUUGGGCUGUUUUGGCCAGUUUUUUGGGCAGUUCUUGCGUGCUGCGGCGAACGGCGUGAGUGAAGCAAAACGCGUCAACCAAUAAUGGCCGUUUUGGUCUGUUUUGUCCUGUUUAUGGGCUGUUUUUCCUUGAUUGAAAUCUUCCUCUUCCUUGUGUGGACAACAAUGCGUAGCUCUGUACUUCUUACCGUUACGGGCGGUGUCUUGUCGUCGAUUGCCUUGUUUGAUCGGCCACUUGAGUCUUUAUUGCUCGUGGUUGGCGAUGGGCUGUCUGAUGGGAUGACUGUGUUGGCAUGUGGCGGUGAUGGUUUGUAUGCGCGGUGGGCUCCCUGUUUUGUGCAGUCGACCACCGGCGUUGCAAGUCUCUUCAAUGGUACUCUGUUGAGCGGAGAUGUGUGUGUUGCCUGUACAAUAUACCUAGUUCCUUUGGAAAUAGACAUUGUUUACCUAAACAUCCACUUCUCAUGUCCUAUCUGAAUGAGGAGUGUGCGAUAUCCGUGCACCUUGUGUGUCCUCGAGCGAUGUCAUGUCUCAGACCUCUCGUCUCGAAAGUGGCUCCGGUGUUCCGCGUGAGUGCUCUUGGAUGCAGUGGAUAAGAAUGUACCAUGGGUCUUUGGACUCUUGGCACAUGAUCGAUUGGCUUUCUUGGUAAGCCCUUGACGGAUGACAGCCUUCCCAUCAUUGCCCCCUUUCCCCCUUGUGGUAAUGGGUCGGCAUGUUGGGCUUGGCGUCAUAGAGGGCGUGCUACCUGGUUGAUCCUGCCAGUAGUCAUAUGCUUGUUUCAAAGAUUAAGCCAUGCAUGUGUAAGUAUGAACUAUUUCAGACUGUGAAACUGCGAAUGGCUCAUUAAAUCAGUUAUAGUUUGUUUGAUGGUGCGUGCUACUGGGAUAACCGUAGUAAUUCUAGAGCUAUCGUGCAACAAACCCGACUUCGGAAGGGAUGCAUUUAUUAGAUAAAAGGCUGGCGUGGGCUUUGCCCGCUGCUCCGAUGAUUCAUGAUAACUUCGGCGGAUCGCGUGCGGCCCUCGUGCCGGCGACGAAUCAUUCAAAUUUCUGCCCUAUCAACUUUCGAUGGUAGGAUAGGGUGACGGAGAAUUAGGGUUCGAUUCCGGAGAGGGAGCUUGAGAAACGGCGGAAGUAACUAUGACUCUCUUAAGGUAGCCAAAUGCCUCGUCAUCUAAUUAGUGAUGCGCAUGAAUGGAUUAACGAGAUUCCCACUGUCCCCGUCUACUAUCCAGCGAAACCACAGCCAAAGGGAGCGGGCUUGGCAGAAUCAGCGGGGAAAGAAGACCCUGUUGAGCUUGACUCUAGUCCGACUUUGUGAAAUGACUUGAGAGGUGUAGGAUAAGUGGGAGCGGUUCGCGGCCGGAAGUCAAAUACCACUACUUUUAACGUUAUUUUACUUAUUCCGUGAGUCGGGCCGGGGGCCCGGCCCCUCCUUUUGGACCCAAGGCCCGCCUAAGCGAACCGAUCGGCGAAGACAUUGUCGGUGGGGAGUUUGGCUGGGGCGGCACCUCUGUUAAAAAAUAACGCGGGUGUCCUAAGAUGAGCUCAGCGAACGGAAAUCUGUGUGGAACAAAGGGUAAAAGCUUCGUUUGAUUCUGAUUUCCAAUGCAGAAUACGAACCGUGGCGUGGCCUAUCGAUCCUUUAGACCUUCGAAUUUGAAGCUAGAGGUGUCAGAAAAGUUACCACAGGGAUAACUGGCUUGUGGCAAAAAGCGUUCAUAGCGGCGUUGAUUUUUGAUCCUUGAUGUCGGCUCUUCCUAUCAUUGUGAAGCAGAAUUCACCAAGUGUUGGAUUGUUCACCCACCAAUAGGGAACGUGAGCUGGGUUUUGACCGUGGUGAGACAGGUUAGUUUUACCCUACGAUGAUCGUGCGCGAUAGUAAUUCAACCUAAUGCGAGAGGAACCGUUGAUUCACACAACUGGUCAUCGGCGGCUUGGUUGAAAAAAAAGCCAGUGUGCAAACAACCGUGUCGGAUUAUGACUGAAACGCCUCUAAGUCAGAAUCCUAGCUAGCAACGGCUCUCGCCCGUCGUUAAGCCUCCCGACCCACAGUAGGGGCCUUUGGCCCCAUGGGCUCGAUGUCGCCGGUGUAGCCCUCAUGGUGGUAUAGCCACGGGCGACCAUCGGAAGUGAAAUUCCGCGCGGACGACGGGCGAAUCCUUUGCAGGCGACUUAAAUACGCGAUGGGGCAUUGUAAGUGGUAGAGUGGCCUUGCUGCCACGAUCCACUGAAUCAACCC
rnacentral:rRNA from 1 species